rnacentral:rRNA from 1 species
UCUAUAUGAUAAAAUAUAUAGUCUAGCCUGCCCACUGGUUUAAAAACUAAAGGGCCGCAGUAUUUUGACUGUGCAAAGGUAGCAUAAUCAUUAGUCUUUUAAUUGAAGACUUGUAUGAAUGGCUGGACGAGAAAUAAACUGUUUCUUUUAUAUAACUUGAACUUAACUUUUAAGUGAAAAGGCUUAAAUGACUUGAGGGGACGAUAAGACCCUAUAAAUCUUGACAUUUUAUUACUAAAUAUACUGUCAAUAAAGUUUAUGUAUUUUUAGUAAAUAUAGUGUUUUACUGGGGCGGUAUGAAUAAAAUAAUUAACUGUUCAAAAUAAGUACAGUAAUAUCUGUAUAAUAAUAGAUCCUUUAUUUAAGAUCAGGAGUUUAAGUUACUUUAGGGAUAACAGCGUUAUUUCUUUUAAGAGUUCAUAUCUAAAAAGAAGUUUGCGACCUCGAUGUUGAAUUAAAAUUUCUCUGUGGUUGCAGAAGCUACAGUAGAGAGUCUGUUCGACUUUUAAAUUUUUACA